rnacentral:sRNA from 1 species
ACUAGUGUGAGAUUCAUGCAGCGUCAUAGGAAGCAGGGUGAUGUGUUUGAAAACAGUGAGCAGGCUAAUGUAUUAAUCUGCUAAUUCUGUCUCCUGAGUUUUCUCUCUUUUCUUCCCUCCUGCCACAUGAAGUGUGCUUGGCUUCUUACCUAAUUAGACAUCUUUUCUUCCUCAGAGAAGGUAUGAGACAGGGAUUUGAUUGUAGUUAUCACUGUAAACAUCAAACUGAUUUUUAUGCAGAACUAUUGCCCCAGGGCAUACCUUCUAAGGAACCUGGUCUCUCCUUACCUAGCGAAUUCCACAUACACAUAGAUGUACACCUACCUGUACACUCACAGAUUGGGUGGUGAUUAAAGGGACGGAAUCGGGGACCAGCUUCUUGUUAGGAAUGCAGUGUUGCCACGGCAUGACAGCAUGGAGCAGUUGAGGGAAUGGCUGCCCAGGAGAACUCAGAACUCUUGAAAUGUAGUUCCAGGCUGCCAUCAUUGCCCUGAUAUUCAGGCCGUCAGACGGAUGUGUGUUGUAGGCCCUGAACGGCACAGAGAGUGGCAGAACAGGCUACAUAAACAGCUCAGCCCAGAAUUGUCUUUCCAGACUGCCUGCCCUCAGUCACAACCCCCACCAGGGAAGGGAAGUGGCCCCAAGACUCCUUCCUCCUUCACCCACUCGAGGAAACAGAGUUCCUGUUACGUGGCAUGAAUGAUGUCUUUUGGCCCCAGUUAAUCCCUCUGAGUCACCAGGUGGCCUUUGCCAAGUGCUGGAGCUGGAAGAGAUGAUAGAGACACUCAUCUGGCAUCCUGAGGCUCUCCUCACAGCUGUUGAAUUCUAGAGGUGCAUUUCAGUGUCUUGGGGCAUGGCAAGACCUUGGAGGCUCCCUGAGCAGAGCAGUGGAGAUGCCCAAAAAGAAGGAAGAACCUAGGAUGGCAGAUGGGGCCCCCCUUGCCCUGGGGAACUUCAUGUUUGUACUUUCUCAGGAAGCACACAUUUCCCCAGUUCAGCGGGAGAGAGAGUGGGGAGACUAGCAGGGAAAUUGCUUUCCAGCUUUGUGCUGGGUGGUUGGGGUGAGGGUGGCCACGGAAGGAGGUGAAAUCAGGCUGACCUCAAGAUAGACCCAAGAUGUCCCAGUUCUGGCCGCUCUAAGUCUCUAAAGCAGCAGCUGGUGGGAGGGGCAGUAUUGGGCAGUAUGUCAGGGAGGCCACCUGUCUGCUCACACAGUACAAUUGAUGUGCCCCCCCCCCCAGGCAUAUAUCCCUCUUCCUCCUUGCUGGGCCCCAUGGGUAGAUAAGGUGACUGGAGGGGUGCCAAGAAAAGGGCGGUGCCCCCACAGGCAUCUGAAAACAAAGCUGCUGCUCCAUUUGCCCAGUUUGAAGAUUAGAAUGGUUUUGUGAUUAGCCAGGAGGGGGUGGGGGUCAGAGUUCUGGACACCUCACUGGAGUUGGGGGUCAGCAUACCCUACCAAGGCUGACAUUCACUCCUAGGUAAUGGCCUGGGACCCUCAGGUGACUUGUCCACUCUCUGGCUAUGUAUUGUUGAAUGAAAAGGGGACAUGUAAAUCUCCUUUCAGCUGUUCUGAAAUAACCCUUGCCACAUGGGAACACAGUCUAUUCAACAUGAAGAAUUCAAACCUAACACAAGUGGGUGAGAAGCAGGAACCCACUGCUAGGCCCCACCGCGUUCCCUCAGAGGUGGUCUCAGUAGCUGGAACUUGGAGAAGUAGUUUUGGUGGGGUGUUGGGACAUGGGUGAAUCCAGGUCCUGGUUUGGAAUUGCUCUGGCGGGAACCGUCAGCUAACAUCAGUUGGAAGCUCUGUGUCCUCCCCCUCCUGAGUCCUGUUUUUCCUGGAGGACCUUGGCCCACCCCUGUGGAAUGUGGGGAUGUGGGGAAGAAAGCUGACUGCUUUUACUCCCACUCAGAAAAUUCGGUUGCGCUCUUCUUCAAGGGGGUGCUCCUCAGCCUGCACCCCAGUGAAGGGGCCUUUGAGGAACUCCCAGUGCCACUGGCAAACAGUCUGUAACCUUUGGGACCCAGCCACCUCCCAGCCCCUGUUCUCUUAAUUCCUGCCUUCUUGGGUUGGAGAGAGGAAUCUCCAUUUGUAAAAGCUGAGUUAGGGAACUAGAGGAUUCCUGAAGCUUUAAAGCGCCUCAAAGCCCUCACCCUGCACGUGACCUGUCACCUGGAGCCUGCCCCAGCCCCCACCCCUGCCUGUUCUUACAGGGGCUCCGGUGCCUCCAGGGUCACACAGCACCAUGUGGAAACUAUUCCUCAGGGCAGCUCUCCUUGGCCUUUUUAUCCCCUGAAUCAUGCAUUUUUCUGCCCUAAUUUGGUGUGGUUUGGUUACUGGGCAGCUGUCCAGGGUGAGUUUGCAGGAGGAAGCACAGCCAAGCAGCCUCGCUCUGCUUAUGGGACAGUCUUCCUCCCACCCUCCCUGAGAGUGAAAGGGCCCCACAGAGACCAUCAGGCAUGGAUGCUGAACUGCUGGGAAGGGAGCUCAGGCUUUUUCUUUUUAGUCCCCAAGAGAAGAAUUCUUUCUCAGAUGUUUUUGUGGUUGGAGAAUAUUUUUGCCAUUGCUUUGAGAAGACUUCCCCUCCUAACUCCCCCUCUUUCCUUGGAAUUUCCUUCCUUAAAUGGAAAGCCUUCAACAUUCACUCCAAGCUCGCCCUUUUGCUCCCCCCAGGAAAAAUAACAAGCAAACAGAGGUGCUUGCCCAGUGUCUCUGGAGGGGCUUCCCUUAGAGGUGGGCUGUGUGAUCCCCUGCCAGGAGGGGGCGAUGGGGGCCACUUGUUCAUUAACGAUGUUAGGCUCAAGGUAACUGAACUUUUUUUGCACAUGCCUCUCUGCAGAGAGUUGUGCAUAAACACACUGCUCGGCAGGACAGAGCAAGAUUGGGAACUGAGGGCAAAUCCCUUCCUCCGUGCGUCGAACUCUUGAUCCCAGGCCUUAAAAGUGGGAUCUCUGCACUCUGGGCUUUCUCCAGCUCCCCCAGGGAAGGGAGGCUCGGGGUGAGGUGGGCACGGGGCAUCUUUCCUGCCCAACUGUGAAGUCUCAAAAAGUUUCACAAAGUUUCUAUUGAAUGACAGCUUUCUUCUUCUCUUUCUCCAGGGUUGAGUUCCAGAAUAAAUUCUACAGCGGGACCGGUUUCAAGUUCUUACCCUUCUCCUUCGAGCAUAUUCGGGAAGGGAAGUUUGAAGAGUGAGUCCCUGUGAGGGCCGUGUGCCCCAUGCUACCCUCCCCGCCUCCCUCCACAGUGAUCAGCUGUGCCUCUCUGCCUGUUGGUUGUGAUCUUGGGCACCAGCUCAUUCGUGUCACCCUGUCUGUGAGUCAUUUAGAUAGAAUAGUCCUCCUUGGGUCUCCCACCACCCCUAGCUUUGUGUGUAGUGUAGUGAUUUUCUGGCUGUCACUCAAACUCACUGGGCACCAGCCUUGCCCUCUUAGCCUCCAUCCAUCCAGACAGCCCUUCCCACCUCCUGGUGGUGAGCCAGUCUGCAUUCCCACGCCAUCCCAAAGCCCUUUCAUCUUCCCUGUGCAUUGUAGAUGGAAGGAGCACCCAUGCCAUUCACAUCUAGACUUUGAGUUCCCUGCAUCUGCCACCGUAGUUUCUAGCAGGAGUAGUGGGGGGAGUAAUACGGAUUCUUCCCUAGAAGGGGACACUGGUAACAUGUCCCACUCUUGGAUUAGCAGGGGUGGGUCCAGGAAGAUGAUAUUUGCGUCUUUUGCCCACCCCCCUCUCGUGCUUGUUAAUCAGGCAUUCAGCUGGACCCAACUAGGCCAUCAUGAGUGGCUUCUCCCUGUCAUCCCCAGGGGUCAUAGGAUAUCUACACCUCCUUUCUGACCCCACCCUGCACUCCCAUCCUUUCCUCUCUCCCCGUUCAUGCCCUGUACUACAUAGCACAGCCGGGAUGCUUGGAACAGAGGCCUUGGCUGCUCCGCAGUGCACAGGGCUUCCCUCUCUCGGGGUUGGCUUCUUCCCAGGCCUUGCAUGGGCCCUGCCCACAAGCACACCCUCAGGCCGAGGGUGCAGACUGAUGCUCUUCCCUGGUGGAGACCCUGAGAUCUUCCCCACCCCCAAUCAUGAUGUCUUCAAUGUGGGACUGGGGUCCUCUUGGUUCUGCCUGCAGCCUGCCUGGCUCCGCCCCUAGUGCCCCCUCCUCACCACACUGGCCCCAGGUCUCAGGAGGGGUGUCCUGGGCAGGGAAGGUCAGUGUCACUGAUGGUUUGCUGUUUGGAAGCCAUUGGCAGGGCUGCCGUGCAUGUGGCUGUGAGGGCUGCACAGUCCUGCCAAGGGGCUUCCUCCUUGUCACCCCGAACCUUGUAAUCGUGUGCUGGCGUGGCAGCCCUGGCUAAGUUAAUCCCCACCGCUUUCAGUGGUAGAAAGAAUUCCCUGAGUGGGCCAGGCUGGUGCCCUCCUCCUACCCUGGCUUUUCUGAGUGAGCUGCCUGGAGCCCUCAUCCCCUCUCCCAGGCUGGGCUGGCCCUGGGCGGGGCCACUGUGUGCUGGCCCACUGUGACCUGACCCGACCUUGUGCAGCCCCCCUGCCCUGGUGUCCUGGGUUUUCGUGAUGAUCUUUGCUCUGUUUCCAGUGGGGUUUGAAGCAGAGUUCAGGGAACCCUGCCCAAGGUCCUCCUGUUCAGACAUUCCUAUGUUGAAUAAAGUAUGUUUGACUCCCCCAG